rnacentral:lncRNA from 1 species
AUCCUGGGCUGUGGUGGAGGCUGCACAGGGGUGGGGGCUGCCGUGAGAGCCCUGCCUGAGGGUCCUCUCUGCCUCCAUGGACAAUGUGGCAGCCAGGACUCCUGGGUCCUGGUGCUGGGGCUGCCCUGAGCCACAAGGCUUCUGUGGGGCCAGCUCCAUGCCCUUCUGGGUGGAGGGAUGGGGUGGGCAAUCCAUGGCCAGGUUUCCCUGGGAGUGGGUCCCCCGUUGGGGUCUGGCUCUGAGAGGAAAGGGGUCCUGUGUCCCAGAGGCUGGUGCCACCAGCACAGGCCCCAGCACUGCCCCCCUGUGCCCCCACUGCCUCCAGGGCGCAGGGCAGCCAGCAGACCCGCAGGGCCCCUGCUGCAGAACCCAGCCCCGGCGGGCUAGCGGCUGUGCCAUGGGGCCCUGCAUUGCCUGGCCACACAGCGCCACGCUGCCCCCAGGCCCCGCCGUGCCCUGGCCCCGCACUGCUGCCCACAACAUGGUGCCCGACUGUGGGGGAGGGGGCAGAGCGGGCCACCAGGGCAGGAGGACCCAACGUUGCCAUGGCACCACCCCAGUGCAGACCUCCUAUUGGCUGGAAGGAGGAGGAGGACAGGCAUCGAUUUCACUGAUGGCUCUGACAGCCAAUUACCAUCCAACAUGGCAAGGGAAAAAGACACCAAGGAGGGAAGUGAAGGAGGAGCGGGAGCAAAGCAGGCGAGAAGUGAGCAGGAAAGAGAGCGGGUGCGAGUGGGUUUGGUGGGGGCUGCGGGUGCGUUCAACUGCCGGCGGGUGCCCUCCCGCUGGGUCGGGGGCAGCGGUGCUGGCGACGGGGCUGCUUUCCUGCAGGAGCUGCAGCAGGGGCUGGAGGGGCCGUGAGCAGGGGACAGAGUGACGUGGGCCAGAGCAGGGAGCUGCCCUGCAGCCAGAUGUGGCAGCCUGCCCUGAGCAGCUGGGCCGGGGCGGCUUGGUGUGGUUUGGGUGCAGGAACCUUUGGCCCUGUGGUGGGUCUGGGAUCCCUGUUAAAGCGUUUCCCUGAGGUGCUGCUGCCAG